rnacentral:rRNA from 1 species
AACGAACGCUGGCGGCAGGCCUAACACAUGCAAGUCGAGCGAGAUCUUCGGGUCUAGCGGCUGACGGGUGAGUAACGCGUGGGAAUAUGCCUCUUUGUACGGAAUAGCCUCGUGAAACUGGGAGUAAUACCGUAUGUGCCCUUUGGGGGAAAGAUUUAUCGCCAAGAGAUUAGCCCGCGUUGGAUUAGGUAGUUGGUGGGGUAAUGGCCUACCAAGCCGACGAUCCAUAGCUGGUUUGAGAGGAUGAUCAGCCACACUGGGACUGAGACACGGCCCAGACUGCUACGGGAGGCAGCAGUGGGGACUCUUAGACAAGGGGGGCAACCCUGAUCUAGCCAGGCCGCGUGAGUGAUGAAGGCCUUAGGGUUGUAAAGCUCUUUCAGCUGGGAAGAUAAUGACGGUACCAGCAGAAGAAGCCCCGGCUAACUCCGUG